rnacentral:misc_RNA from 1 species
UCCGCCGAUCACGCCGGCCGCGGUUGCCGCCGCCGUUCCGAGAAACGAGCCGCCGCCACCGCCGAACAUCCCGCCGCCGGGAUUGCCGGCCCUUGGAUCAUUCAUCCGCGGAUCGUUCAUGCGCGGGUCGCCGCNNNNNGAGCGCCUGACCGCUGUUCCAGACCGGACCGCGCUGCGUACCGUCACCGGGACGAACGCUCGGUACGGAACCGCGUCCCUGGCCGGGGCCGAGAAUCGCAUCGCGCAUCGAAUCGAGAAAUCCGCCGGAGGG